UACGUAGGGUGCGAGCGUUGUCCGGAAUUAUUGGGCGUAAAGAGCUUGUAGGCGGUUUGUCGCGUCUGCUGUGAAAAUCCGGGGCUCAACCUCGGACUUGCAGUGGGUACGGGCAGACUAGAGUGUGGUAGGGGAGACUGGAAUUCCUGGUGUAGCGGUGGAAUGCGCAGAUAUCAGGAGGAACACCGAUGGCGAAGGCAGGUCUCUGGGCCGAUUACUGACACUGAGAAGCGAAAGCAUGGGGAGCGAACAGG
rnacentral:rRNA from 1 species